UGUUUGCGUCUUGGCCAAUAAACCUGAUUCUGAUUCGAUUUUUUAACCUCUAUGUAAAAUAUUCGUGUUCUUUAGUGUUUUGCUUAAAGGCACGGACGGGGUUCGAACCCGCGAUCUUCGGUUUACGAGACCGACGCCUUACCACUUGGCCACCGCGCCUUACAAGCAAUCGGGCAAAAAUCACCUCAGUUCAAGAGUUAGUCACGUUCUUUCGUUGAAAUCAAACGCCUCCGAGAUGCAUACAACAUGACAAAAAAGUGGUAGAUUGUAUAAGACAUUGUAUAGAGAUAUAUACGUGAUACAAUACAUACAUUAGCUAGUGGUGCUUCUCUUGAGCUCGCGCGUAGUGUGUAUGGAUAAUAUUGAGACAUGGCCAGAGCGGUGUCAUGACACCGCGCAUGCGUGUUGUAAAAAUAGAACAGCUGAUGUACAGUAACAGCUGAUGUGCUGUUUGUUUGCCAUGCUUAGCAGGGGUUUUCAGCUCCAAACGAGAUGCUGAAACUCCUGAAAAGCCUUCUGUAACACUUGAUAAGGUGGAGCUUUUACGGUUCUCUGCAACACAUUGUGUGUGUGUGUGUGUGUGUGUGUGUGUGUGUGUGUGUGUGUGUGUGUGUGUGUGUGUGUGUAGGGAGGGGGUUAAAAGAC